CACGAACCGGACGAACGUUAUUCGGAAUUACUGGGCUUAAAGGGUGCGUAGGCGGCUCUGCAGGUGGGGUGUGAAAUCCCUCGGCUCAACCGAGGAACUGCGCCCCAAACCGCAGAGCUUGAGGAAGGCAGAGGUGAGCGGAACUCAGGGUGGAGCGGUGAAAUGUGUUGAUAUCCUGGGGAACACCAGUGGCGAAGGCGGCUCACUGGGCCUUUUCUGACGCUGAGGCACGAAAGCCAGGGGAGCGAACGGG
rnacentral:rRNA from 1 species